CAACUCCUCAAAACGCGCAUCCGCAGACGUGCUUCUGCAGCCCCUACGUGACGGCGGCGCGCAGCGCCUAGCCCGGCGCAGGAGAAAUCACGGUUGUUACAGGCAAUUCCCCUGGAACUUAACUGCGGCCAUAUGGAAACAUUCCUUGGUGCUGGAAACGCGGCUGGAUCUGCCCCGAGUUGCUCCUGCACCUGGUGUCUGCCAAGCCCUACUACUGCUGAGGCGCAUCCCCGCUCCCGCAGGCUGCUCCUGCCGCCAUGUCCCGGGCUGGAACUGGCAGGUGGCGCGGAGUUAAGGCAGAUGGGACAGGAAACAAGCUAUCGUCGAGCUUGGCUACCAGUGGAGAAGGAAGCAAGCUGACACCUUCAAAUUAGGCUCGAGAGCUUGCAUCCUGCAACUCUAAAGAUUAAGAGAUCUUGCAAAUUCAAGACAGGGACAUGAAGUACUUCUCAGUAUACCAGUUCACCUGAGGUUCAGCAACUCUUAGGUUUGCCUUUUCUGGUUACCCCUACUGACACCUACUCUUCCCUACUGCAUUUGCUGCCAUGACUAACUAGACUUGUACAAGAACAGUAACAAGAAAAAAAAAGACACAAAUACUAGGACAUAAGAGAAGCUGAACUGCACACCCUGUAAAUCAACCUCCCUUUUUCUAAAUUAAUUAGCUAAUGGUGGCAGCACUUUCAGGUACAUUCACCUUCAAAAACUGAUCUCUCUUAAGUAAUUCCAAGAAAAAUGGGGGUGGGAAGAGGAAGGGAGGCUGAGAGAGAGAAAGGCAAGCUACACAAGGAGAAUUGUAAUAGCUUCCUGUCCGUUACUGCUGUCUGCAUUAUUAUUUCCUUUCCUGGCAUUCAGCCUGGGAUUAGAGCAUGAGCCAAAGACAUUCCCGAGCAGACAGAAUGAGGUACGUGAUGGUGUCUGCACACAUAUGCAGAGGUGUCUGAAGCAAGACGCACACAUUCGUUUUAAAGGUGAAUGUGGAACCAUAGAAGAGGCAUGCUACUCAACAGCCAGGUCACUCUAUAGCCUGUAUUUUGUACAGCUGAUGGCUGACACAGAGACACCAGUGGGUGGGCUGGAAGCGCCAGCUUUAAAGGGACAGUCAGAAACCCAAUUCCGUCGACACACUGAGCAGUGAAACCCGCAGGUGUUCCAUUGCCAAUGCUGAAUGUACAACUGUAAAGAACACUUAAAAAUCUAACUGCAUUUACAACUUCUUUACUUGGAUCAACAUAGUUAAAGCUGAAUCCUAGCCUACAUUUCUGCUAGUCAAAACCAAAAUGAAUGAUAGAGAUUAAACUAUUAGAUUUGACAAGAAUCUAUCACAACUGGAAUAAGGGCCAGUUACGAUGCUGCAGUAAAUACCAUGCCACAAUUAAUACAGUGCUAUCAAUGCUGUAAUAAAAUACACCCUUAAAAUGUGA